rnacentral:misc_RNA from 1 species
UGCCGGAAGAUUAUGUAGACGAAGCCGAGCGUAUUAUGCGCAGCCUCAUGAGCGGCGGCAAGACCGUGACCACCAGCAAAAUCCGCAACCUGUUGAGCCUUGUGACCGAUAUCUAUAAUGAGGAAAACAUCC